UACGGAGGGUGCGAGCGUUGUUCGGAAUCACUGGGCGUAAAGCGCGUGUAGGCGGCCCGCUAAGUCUGAUGUGAAAGCCCGAGGCUCACCCUCGGAAGUGCAUUGGAAACUGGCGGACUGGAGUCCCGGAGAGGAGGGUGGAAUUCCUGGUGUAGCGGUGAAAUGCGCAGAUAUCAGGAGGAACACCGGUGGCGAAGGCGGGUCUCUGGGCCGAUACUGACGCUGAGGAGCGAAAGCGUGGGGAGCGAACAGG
rnacentral:rRNA from 1 species